GGAGGAAAGUAGGGGAUCGCAAGACCUCGCGCCAUUGGAGCGGCCGAUGUCCGAUUAGCUAGUUGGUGAGGUAAAGGCUCACCAAGGCGACGAUCGGUAGCUGGUCUGAGAGGAUGAUCAGCCACACUGGGACUGAGACACGGCCCAGACUCCUACGGGAGGCAGCAGUGGGGAAUUUUGGACAAUGGGGGAAACCCUGAUCCAGCCAUGCCGCGUGAGUGAAGAAGGCCUUCGGGUUGUAAAGCUCUUUCGGACGGAACGAAACGGCGAGAGCUAAUACCUCUCGCUACUGACGGUACCGUAAGAAGAAGCACCGGCUAACUACGUGCCAGCAGCCGCGGUAAUACGUAGGGUGCGAGCGUUAAUCGGAAUUACUGGGCGUAAAGCGUGCGCAGGCGGCUGCCUAAGUCAGAUGUGAAAGCCCCGGGCUCAACCUGGGAAUUGCGUUUGAAACUACAAAGCUAG
rnacentral:rRNA from 1 species